AAAACGACUCUCGGCAACGGAUAUCUCGGCUCUCGCAUCGAUGAAGAACGUAGCGAAAUGCGAUACUUGGUGUGAAUUGCAGAAUCCCGUGAACCAUCGAGUCUUUGAACGCAAGUUGCGUCCAAAGCCUUCUGGUUGAGGGCACGUCUGCCUGGGU
rnacentral:rRNA from 1 species